UGGGAGCCUCACGCCAACUGGAUGCAGCGAAACACCGAACACCUUCCAAAUGGCUUCUCUCCAUCUGAACAACCGCCUAUUUUAUUCUAAUUUCUGGAGAUUUUAUUCAAAAACCUCAAUUAGUUUCUAAAUCAUGUAAGAACAAAAAGAAGUCAUAACUCGAAAGAUACAAUCUGCAAACAGCAAGGUUUAAACUCUCUGGGACAGAGGCCAUCAGUCAAAUAGUUAACCCGCUG
rnacentral:lncRNA from 1 species